GCCCAGAUAGCUCAGCUGGUUAGAGCGUUACAUUGGUAAUGUAAAGGUCCUGAGUUCAAUCCUCAGUCUGGGCU
rnacentral:tRNA from 1 species